rnacentral:rRNA from 1 species
AUUGAACGCUGGCGGCAUGCUUUACACAUGCAAGUCGAACGGUAACAGGCCUUCGGGCGCUGACGAGUGGCGAACGGGUGAGUAAUGCAUCGGAACGUGCCCAGUCGUGGGGGAUAACUACCGGAAAGGAUAGCUAUUAUCGCAUACGACCUGGGGAUGAAAGCGGGGGACCUUCGGGCCUCGCGCGAUUGGAGCGGCCGCUGUCUGAUUAGGUAGUUGGUGGGGUAAAGGCUCACCAAGCCAACGACCCGUAGCUGGCCCAAGAGGACGACCAGCAGGACUGGGACUGAGACACGGCCCAGACUCCUACGGGAGGCAGCAGUGGGGAAUUUUGGACAAUGGGCGCAAGCCUGAUCCAGCAAUGCCGCGUGCAGGAAGAAGGCCUUCGGGUUGUGAGCUGCUUUUGUACGGAACGAAACGGCUCUGGUUAAUACCCGGGGCUAAUGACGGUACCGUAAGAAUAAGCACCGGCUAACUACGUGCCAGCCGCCGCAGUAACAC